rnacentral:misc_RNA from 1 species
GGUGAAGAACGCAGCGAAAUGCGAUAAGUAAUGUGAAUUGCAGAAUUCAGUGAAUCAUCGAAUCUUUGAACGCACCUUGCGCUCUUUGGUAUUCCGAAGAGCAUGCCUGUUUGAGUGUCAUGAAAAUAUCAACCUUGACUUGGGUUUUGUGCUCUAGUCUCGGCUUGGAAUUGGGUGCUUGCCGCUUUUACGAGCGGCUCACCUUAAAUGUAUUAGCUGGAUCUGUCUUUGAGACUUGGUUUGACUUGGCGUAAUAAGUAUUUCGCUAAGGACAUUCUUCGGAGUGGCCUCGUUUCUAGGACGCUUGUCCGCUUUCCAAUACAAGUUCCACCUCGUGGACAUGACUUUUUAUUAUCUGGCCUCAAAUCAGGUAGGACUACCCGCUGAACUUAAGCAUAUCAAUAAGCGGAGGA